UAGUGUAUUGGACUACCAUGGCAGUCACGGGCAACGGAGAAUUAGGGUUCGAUUCCGGAGAAGGAGCCUGAGAAACGGCUACUACAACUACGGUUCGGCAGCAGGGAAGAAAAUUGGCCAAUCCUAAUUCUGGGAGCCAGUGACAAGAAAUAGCAAGCUGGGAAACUUAGUUUUUACGGCAUUGAAAUGAGAAAAGUUUAAAACUCUUAGCGAGGAACAAUUGGAGGGCAAGUCUGGUGCCAGCAGCCGCGGUAAUUCCAGCUCCAAUAGCGUAUAUUAAAGUUGUUGCAGUUAAAAAGCUGGUAGUUGAACUUCUGUCUAGCUUUAUUUCGACUCGUCGAAUAAAGCUGGACAAAAGUCUGCAAACUAAAAUCGGCCUUUACUGGUUGGACUUAGGGAGUAGACAUUUUACUGUGAAAAAAUAAGAGUGUUUAAGGCAGGUACUAGCCUGAAUACAUUAGCAUGGAAUAAUGGAAUAGGACUAAGUCCAUUUUAUUGGUUCUUGGAUUUGGUAAUGAUUAAUAGGGACAGUUGGGGGCAUUAGUAUUUAAUAGUCAGAGGUGAAAUUCUUGGAUUUAUUAAGGACUAACUAAUGCGAAAGCAUUUGCCAAAGAUGUUUUCAUUAAUCAAGAACGAAAGUUAGGGGGUCAAAGACGAUC
rnacentral:rRNA from 1 species